GGGGCUUUUAGCGCAAGGCGGCGAUAUGGAUCGAGGUUCCGUAGGUUUGGAACUUGGAUGUUUUGGAAUCCGAGAGCUCGUACGCGAUCAAUCUAACGAGAGAGUUUUGAGCAGUUCCUCAUGCAGUAUCCACUUUCGUUUUAGAGUUUCAAGUAAUCAAAUCGUAACUCCAUUGUUCGCC